AACCAGACUCCUACGGGAGGCAGCAGUGGGGAAUAUUGCACAAUGGGGGAAACCCUGAUGCAGCGACGCCGCGUGAGUGAAGAAGUAUUUCGGUAUGUAAAGCUCUAUCAGCAGGGAAGAAGUUGACGGUACCUGAGUAAGAAGCCCCGGCUAACUACGUGCCAGCAGCCGCGGUAAUACGUAGGGGGCAAGCGUUAUCCGGAUUUACUGGGUGUAAAGGGAGCGUAGACGGCAGUGCAAGUCUGAAGUGAAAGCCCCGGGCUUAACCCGGGAAUUGCUUUGGAAACUGUACGGCUGGAGUGCUGGAGAGGUAAGCGGAAUUCCUAGUGUAGCGGUGAAAUGCGUAGAUAUUAGGAGGAACACCAGUGGCGAAGGCGGCUUACUGGACAGUAACUGACGUUGAGGCUCGAAAGCGUGGGGAGCAAACAGGAUUAGAUCCCCCCGUA
rnacentral:rRNA from 1 species